rnacentral:rRNA from 1 species
GAUGAACGCUGGCGGCGUGCCUAAUACAUGCAAGUCGAGCGAACGGACGAGAAGCUUGCUUCUCUGAUGUUAGCGGCGGACGGGUGAGUAACACGUGGAUAACCUACCUAUAAGACUGGUAUAACUUCGGGAAACCGUAGCUAAUACCGGAUAAUAUUUUGAACCGCAUGGUUCAAAAGUGAAAGACGGUCUUGCUGUCACUUAUAGAUGGAUCCGCGCUGCAUUAGCUAGUUGGUAAGGUACCGGCUUACCAAGGCAACGAUGCAUAGCCGACCGGAGAGGGUGAUCGGCCGCAUUGGAACUGAGACACGGUCCAGACUCCUACGGGAGGCAGCAGUAGGGAAUCUGCCGCAAUGGGCGAAAGCAUGACGGAGCAACGCCGCGUGAGUGAUGAAGGUCUUCGGAUCGGAAAACUCUGUUAUUAGGGAAGAACAGAUGUGUAAGUAACUGUGCACAUCUUGACGGUACCUAAUCAGAAAGCCCCGGCUAACUACGUG